ACUGACAAUCCUCGCAAAAAACAUUUUAAAUACUUUGUUAUAUAUUUUCUUAUCACUAGGUUUGAUAUUCUAAAAUCAUUCGCAGUUUAUAAAACAUCUAUGCUACGUAACUAAAUAUUUCCUAUUCUCGUUUAUGCGUGUACUCCCAUGAUUCCACGCGGCGCGAAAUUUUGUCUGCUGCUUACGACACGCGUGCUUUGCGAAAAACAUUGGGUUGUAAAACGCUUAUAUACCGUGUUCUAGUACACCACAGAUUUAAUGUAUGCUUAUUAGGUGUGAUUUGUCAAACAAAGUUUUCGUUUUGAAUAGUGCGCUCGUACAUAAUCUAAGACGUUAAGGCAACUGAUGUCCAAAUCAUGUCGUCCUACUGGACGAAGCGGAGUAAAUAAAAUUGUUGAAGCAGAGUUGGCAGAACCGAAAGAAAAAGACAGAUCCGAUACAAACAAUGGAGUCACACAAAUAUGGCAGCAGACUUGCCACCAAGUAAGGUGACAAAACAUGUGAAGGAGGGAACUCUGCCAGACAGGUGAAUGCACUAACCACCAGAAUAUUGGCAUCAUCACGAGAGCACCCCAUUGAUGCUCUGCAAGGAAAACAAGAAGAGACAAACCUCAAACUGCAGCAGUAGAAGGUAGUAUCCAGGGAGUGUCUAACGCAGAGCAGAAGCCUCUCUUGUGUGGGUGGUACGGAUGCAAAGGAUUGCCUGAAAAGGAUCAUGCGGCGAAUCUUGGCCGACAAGGUUUUAUAACUAAAGGCCAAAGAGGAGAAAAGUGUGCAUUCAAGGGGCUUUCAAAGGUGCAGACCAUGAUAUGCAAAGCAGUACAGAAGAACAAUGGGUGCAUGGAGGCUUCGGAUAAUAUCAUCGAAGAAAGCAGCAGCAGAAAGAGUCGGGGUAGAAAGCAGAGGAGAGAACGAAACUAAAUGCUAGCAUAUUUCAAGGAAGUGACAACUGUGUUUCUGUGCCCUGUGAAUUUACUGGAAUAUUAUGGCAGAAUUGUGUAGCUAUGUUUCCUCGUUGGGAUUUGGCAAAAAGAGACUUCCAAGAAAUUGAAAGUAAAA